GUCCUUUUGUUAAAAAUUUAAGGUCUGGCCUGCUCUAUGAGGAAUUAAAUGGCCGCAGUAUUUUGACUGUGCUAAGGUAGCAUAAUCAUUAGUUUUUUAAUUGAAAGCUGGAAUGAAGGGUUGGAUGAAGAAAAGACUAUUUUUAUUUAAUUAUAUUAAAAUUUUAUUUUUAAGUUAAAAAGCUUAAAUUUUAUUAAAAGACGAGAAGACCCUAUAGAGUUUAAUAUAAAUUAGAUUUAAUAAAAUUAGGAUUUAUUUUUUUAUUUUAAAUUUAUAUUUAAUUGGGGUGAUUGAAAAAUUUAUUUAACUUUUUUUUUAUUUUAAUACUAAUAAGUAAUUUUUUGAUCCAAUAUUUUUGAUUAUAAGAUAAAAUUACCUUAGGGAUAACAGCGUAAUUUUAUUAGAGAGUUCAAAUCGAUAAUAAAGAUUGCGACCUCGAUGUUGGAUUAAAAUUUAUAAUUGGUGUAGAAGCUAAUUAAUUGAGUCUGUUCGACUUUUGAAAUUUUACA
rnacentral:rRNA from 1 species